CACGUAGGGUGCGAGCGUUGUCCGGAAUUAUUGGGCGUAAAGAGCUCGUAGGCGGUGUGUCGCGUCGGCCGUGAAAACCUGCAGCUUAACUGUGGGCUUGCGGUCGAUACGGGCAUCACUGGAGUUCGGCAGGGGAGACUGGAAUUCCUGGUGUAGCGGUGAAAUGCGCAGAUACCAGGAGGAACACCGGUGGCGAAGGCGGGUCUCUGGGCAAUAACUGACGCUGAGGAGCGAAAGCGUGGGGAGCGAACAGG
rnacentral:rRNA from 1 species